rnacentral:lncRNA from 1 species
CCUGAGGUGUUUACAUGCUGCAUAGCGACUGUGAUGUUGCCGUUCUUGAGCUGAGCAUAGAGCCCAGGGCUUAGAGCCUGUGGGCUGCCUGACAGCACGGUUCCUCAUCCCAGGUCAAUAUGGCCUUGUCUGUUUCACAUUAUACGGUCCUCCGUGUUUGUUAUCCAUGAGAUCACUGUGCCCCAGAGGGUGAUGAAAUCUUCAUGUCAUGUAACUUUGGUGCAUGAUGGAGCAGAUAUUUGCAUGGUGGACUGCUUUUCCUAGGACUGUGCUUUCGCUGUUUAGCACCGACCUAGGAUAAGAUCUGAUUGGAAAUGUGACGGGAUGAGAAGACAUGGAUAAAAGGUAGCCCUGGUACCUGGUGUUUAUCUGCUGGGCAGUAAAUGUUGGAUCUGGCCGUCACUUGAGGAGGCACUGGGGAGGAGAGGUGGGGUGAACCAGGCCGGGAGAGUGCUUGCUGUCAGAAAGAUGAUCUCUAGCACGGAAGGUGCAUAUUGACAGAUAAUAUAUAUUGAAAUAUGAUUGUGAUGUGCUUAAUGCUUUUGUGUUCAUUGGUCCCAUACGCCAGCCUGGACUGACAAGUGCCCGUGUAUCAACAAGGGACAGUUGAACAGUGAUAGUGUUUUUUCAGGAAAUAUCUUUCAGUUGUUUUUUUGUUGUUGUUUGUUUGUUUGUUUGAAGAGUGAACAAUUGUAUGUUUGACCCAGUGUUCCCUGACAUUCAGCUGUGAGAUCCCGGAGCUUUUGGACAGAAAAGCUUGUGGCCAAGGCUCAUGGGUGGCUCUGCUGCCCCCAAGUGGUGUGGGAACCUGGGAGAAUCUCCCUAUCUCCAUGAACCACAGUGUCUUCAUCAGGAAGAUAAAGUCCUUCCAAUACUCGAAAUUCCUCUCCUGCUGAGUUUUUUUGUUUUUGUUUUUUCUUUCCCUGCAUGCCUGUGGGUCCGAGAUGCAUGUUGCAUGUGCCCUGGGAACUGCAGCCAAGUCUUGACUUUGGUCCCUUGUCUGUGCUUUUCCUGCAGGAGCCUGAACUGAGUCCACACACUGAACUCACAGACCUGCAGGGGGAGAUGGAAGAAAGAAAAUCAACAGGUUUUGAGGAUGAGAAGAACCCAAGUAAUGGCAGAGGAGGUGCUGUGCAAGAGAGAUUGCUGCAGUGGCAUCCAGGACUGUCAGUGGAAGUGGGGAAUGACAUGACACCACCUUUCGGACACCCAACUGGCAAGAGGUAAAAGAGGAAGGGACAGUCAGCCCACUGUAUACAAUGACAUGCAAGACCUAACUCUCACGUUGGUUCAACCCAAACCAGCGAGAAGCAAUCUAUGGUCAUACUGAGUCUUGGGCCCAGUCUAAACGGUGGAGCUUUGGGAUACAAAUCUCUCAAAUGCAACACAAUGGAAAGAGUUUUUGUUCAGGAGUUAGAAGAGGGAGUAUGUGGGGAUGUUGGGUUUCCUCACUUUGGAGUUCCAUCGUGGCUCAGCAGAAACAAAUCUGUCUAGCAUCCAUGAGGUCACAGGUUCAAUCUCUGGCCUCGCUCAGUGGGUUAAGUAUCUGUCAUUGCUCCAAACUGCACUCUAGGUCACAGAUGCGUUUUGUAUCUGUCUUGCUGUGCC